UACAUGCAAUGAGGCAAAAGGUUGCUGAUGAGAAUCAGGUAAUUUUUGCUGAGUAUGUCCCGUUUAAAAUGGGGCGACUG
rfam:Caldisalinibacter kiritimatiensis strain L21-TH-D2 NODE_70, whole genome shotgun sequence.